rnacentral:rRNA from 1 species
AUUGAACGCUGGCGGCAGGCCUAACACAUGCAAGUCGAGCGGUAGCACAGGGAGCUUGCUCCUGGGUGACGAGCGGCGGACGGGUGAGUAAUGUCUGGGAAACUGCCCGAUGGAGGGGGAUAACUACUGGAAACGGUAGCUAAUACCGCAUAACGUCUUCGGACCAAAGUGGGGGACCUUCGGGCCUCACACCAUCGGAUGUGCCCAGAUGGGAUUAGCUAGUAGGUGAGGUAAUGGCUCACCUAGGCGACGAUCCCUAGCUGGUCUGAGAGGAUGACCAGCCACACUGGAACUGAGACACGGUCCAGACUCCUACGGGAGGCAGCAGUGGGGAAUAUUGCACAAUGGGCGCAAGCCUGAUGCAGCCAUGCCGCGUGUGUGAAGAAGGCCUUCGGGUUGUAAAGCACUUUCAGCGAGGAGGAAGGGUUCAGUGUUAAUAGCACUGUUCAUUGACGUUACUCGCAGAAGAAGCACCGGCUAACUCCGUGCCAGCAGCCGCAGUAAAAC